CUACGGGUGGCAGCAGUGGGGAAUAUUGCACAAUGGGCGCAAGCCUGAUGCAGCCAUGCCGCGUGUAUGAAGAAGGCCUUCGGGUUGUAAAGUACUUUCAGCGGGGAGGAGGGGAGUAAAGUUAAUACCUUUGCUCAUUGACGUUACCCGCAGAAGAAGCACCGGCUAACUCCGUGCCAGCAGCCGCGGUAAUACGGAGGGUGCAAGCGUUAAUCGGAAUUACUGGGCGUAAAGCGCACGCAGGCGGUUUGUUAAGUCAGAUGUGAAAUCCCCGGGCUCAACCUGGGAACUGCAUCUGGUACUGGCAAGCUUGAGUCUCGUAGAGGGGGGUAGAAUUCCAGGUGUAGCGGUGAAAUGCGUAGAGAUCUGGAGGAAUACCGGUGGCGAAGGCGGCCCCCUGGAUGAAGACUGACGCUCAGGUGCGAAAGCGUGGGGAGCAAACAGGAUUAGAUACCCCGGUAGUC
rnacentral:rRNA from 1 species